UCAAAAUGUAAUACCAAAACAAAAUUUAUUGAAGUGUAACACGCCGUGUUUCAUUUCAAUAAAAUUUGCGUUGGUACUACAAUUCAAUGAAAUCUUUAAGAUUUGUUACACAUUUCUAUGUUCUCAGAAGAAGACUCACUUUCAUUCUCAGACAUUCAUUUCAAUAAAACUUCGGGAGAAGUUUCAUAUUCAUUGUUAAGCACAUGAGUCUUGUUUGGGUUUUUUUCUUCAUGAUAUUAGCACAACAAUGUACCACACCAAGCAACACACCAGGCAAUUGCAGCAAUUUAUAUAGAUGUACGGUUCUUUACGAUAUUUACCAAAAUCCAGAUUCAACAACUGCUCAACAAAUAUAUCUAUCGGAUAGUUAUAAUGAUAAUUGUGGACACGGCAUGGUUUGCUGUCCAAUUGAAACACGACCCAUAUCUACACCAGCACCUGUUACAACAACAGCACCUGUUACAACAACCGUAAUCGAUACAUUACUACCUCGCGAUUGUGGAACGGAAAUAUUGGGUCCAAGAAUAUGGGAUGGUAAAAAUACUAGAAGACUUGAUUUCCCCUGGCUGGUUUUAAUCGAACACACACAUUUUGACGGUGAAAAAUUCUUAGAUUGUGGUGGUUCCCUCAUCAAUAAUUUAUAUGUUGUAACAGCUGCACACUGCUUGGGUACGCAAAGCCAUAAAUUGACAGCCGUUCGACUUGGAGAAUGGAAUACCGCGACAGAUCCAGAUUGUGACGAUGACGGACAAUGCUCCGCCCCAGUUCAAUACAUUCGUGUUGUAGAACAAAUUCGACAUGAGAACUAUAAUCGAUAUUCGAAUAAUCUCGAAAAUGAUAUUGGUUUGCUACGAUUAGAAAGACCGAUUACGUUUUCAAACUGGAUCAAACCUAUUUGUCUCCCUAUUUCGGAUGAGACGAUCAACGGAAAUGUAGAUCGUGAACCAUACGUGGUCUCUGGAUGGGGAAUAACACAGGCAGGGGCUUUGAGUAUUAUCAAACAAAAGGCUGAAAUAGGUGGUGUUUCGAUUAAUAAAUGUAACAGAUCGUAUCAAAAACUAGGCAUUAUCUUGACAACCAACCAUCUAUGUGCUGGUGGUGAAGGAAUUGAUGCGUGUAAUGGUACAACUCAAUUGUAUUUCAAAGGGAUUCGGGCGGACCUCUGAUGGCAAUGCAUCGUAACAAUAGUACCACUUACUAUUUCUUAGCAGGAAUUAUCUCAUUUGGCACAAAAACCUGUGGAUUACAAGGAUGGCCAGGGGUAUAUACCCGUGUCGAUAAAUAUGUUGAUUGGAUAAGAACCAAAAUACGACCAUGAAAAUUAACACAGAGACAUUAACACGAGAAUCAAAGAACCA